CCCCUAGACGUUCUGGGCUGCACGCGCGCUACAAUAAUACGCACAGCGAGUAUCACCGAGCUCGAAAGGGCAAGGUAAACAAUAGAAAAGGUACUGUAAUGGUUAUAGAUCCUUGUAAUUAUUGAUCUUCAACGAGGAAUUCCUAGUAAGUAUGUGUCAUCAUCACGCACUGAUUACGUCCCUGCCCUUUGUACACACCGCCCGUCGCUCCUACCGAUUGGGUGAGCCGAUGAAACUCUCGGAUGUAGGCUAUUCAUAGCCCGCAGAAGAGAUUUGAAUCGUAGCGCUUAGAGGAGGGAGAAGUCGUAACA
rnacentral:rRNA from 1 species